CGGGUCGUUAGCUCAGUUGGUAGAGCAGUUGACUUUUAAUCAAUUGGUCGCAGGUUCGAAUCCUGCACGACCNGU
rnacentral:tRNA from 1 species